CCACACUCUCACCUCAAACCUUUCCAUUCACUCACUAGCAGGCCAGCGUUUCCACCAGCGGAUGUUUUUUGAGGCCAGUGUUUCUUUGAAAAGAUGCAGGAGGCCUCAGCCACGCAGGAGACACCUACGCCUGCUAUUAUAAACCCGUCCUCUGCUGGAUGCCAGAAAGACCAGGCCGUGUUUAAUACUUAACUCUUUUCGGAAAGCGAUACCAACGGCGUCAUGCGUUUUUGGUGUGUUUCUACACACACAAAAGUAAACACGCACACAUGCACACACACUCCAACAGGAAGAGUGUGGGUGUUUGGGAGCAGCUGCAUGGAGAAGCAUCAGACCCAGCUUCCUCCUGGUGCAGCCAACACACACACACACACACGCACACACACACACACACACACACACACACACACACACACACACACACACACACACACACACACACACACACACACACACACACCACCAUCACGUGGCUCUUAUCAGACACCGAAUUCGAGAUUCAAUCUGCAGCUCUUGCAGAAAUUAGUGGGCUGUGGCGACACAGCUUGUGCAUGUUGCAACGCAAGCCGCGCGCGUGUCCUGUUUCUGUCCUCCUUCCCUGGAACGGUGACACAUCAGCACAUCACAGCCCCAAAGCCCGGGCGUUGCGCAACACUUUCCUGCGCCGAGCUGCAACCGAGGACUCGCCGGCGGCGCCCGGAGCCGACUCCACUCUCGCACCUGUGCGAGGUGAGGCCCACACGACUCGAGGCACAGAUGGACGGAGCAGAUAAAGCCAGAAAAUGUGAGCGGGCGAGCGAGCGCGAGAGAGAGAAAACAGACAGAUGGAAAUUGAACUGUUACAUCAGCGCCUCAGCUGUAAAAUGUCAAACUACGAUCAUGGCGCAAUCAUCUCGCAGUGGUUUGAUUAUAAACACGACUUGAUAAACAGGAUACACUGGCUUUGAAAAGGCUCCACGCAGCUGAAGGCAGCAUCUGAGCGGAGGCUGGUGGAACCGUCCUCUGAGCCCAGCUCGCACAGGUGCACCCCGCUGUUCACUUUCC
rnacentral:lncRNA from 1 species